GGUUAAGCGACUAAGCGUACACGGUGGAUGCCCUGGCAGUCAGAGGCGAUGAAGGACGUGCUAAUCUGCGAAAAGCGUCGGUAAGGUGAUAUGAACCGUUAUAGCCGGCGAUGUCCGAAUGGGGAAACCCAGUGCAAUUCGUUGCACUAUCGUUAACUGAAUACAUAGGUUAACGAGGCGAACCGGGGGAACUGAAACAUCUAAGUACCCCGAGGAAAAGAAAUCAACCGAGAUUCCCCCAGUAGCGGCGAGCGAACGGGGAGCAGCCCAGAGUCUGAAUCAGCUUGUGUGUUAGUGGAACGGUCUGGAAAGUCCGACGGUACAGGGUGAUAGUCCCGUACACCAAAAUGCACAGGUUGUGAACUCGAAGAGUAGGGCGGGACACGUGGUAUCCUGUCUGAAUAUGGGGGGACCAUCCUCCAAGGCUAAAUACUCCUGACUGACCGAUAGUGAACCAGUACCGUGAGGGAAAGGCGAAAAGAACCCCGGCGAGGGGAGUGAAAAAGAACCUGAAACCGUGUACGUACAAGCAGUGGGAGCACCUUCGGGUGUGACUGCGUACCUUUUGUAUAAUGGGUCAGCGACUUAUAUUCUGUAGCAAGGUUAACCGUAUAGGGGAGCCGCAGGGAAACCGAGUCUUAACUGGGCGUUAAGUUGCAGGGUAUAGACCCGAAACCCGGUGAUCUAGCCAUGGGCAGGUUGAAGGUUGGGUAACACUAACUGGAGGACCGAACCGACUAAUGUUGAAAAAUUAGCGGAUGACUUGUGGCUGGGGGUGAAAGGCCAAUCAAACCGGGAGAUAGCUGGUUCUCCCCGAAAGCUAUUUAGGUAGCGCCUCGUGAACUCAUCUUCGGGGGUAGAGCACUGUUUCGGCUAGGGGGUCAUCCCGACUUACCAACCCGAUGCAAACUACGAAUACCGAAGAAUGUUAUCACGGGAGACACACGGCGGGUGCUAACGUCCGUCGUGAAGAGGGAAACAACCCAGACCGCCAGCUAAGGUCCCAAAGUCAUGGUUAAGUGGGAAACGAUGUGGGAAGGCACAGACAGCCAGGAUGUUGGCUUAGAAGCAGCCAUCAUUUAAAGAAAGCGUAAUAGCUCACUGGUCGAGUCGGCCUGCGCGGAAGAUGUAACGGGGCUAAACCAUGCACCGAAGCUGCGGCAGCGACACUAUGUGUUGUUGGGUAGGGGAGCGUUCUGUAAGCCUGCGAAGGUGUGCUGUGAGGCAUGCUGGAGGUAUCAGAAGUGCGAAUGCUGACAUAAGUAACGAUAAAGCGGGUGAAAAGCCCGCUCGCCGGAAGACCAAGGGUUCCUGUCCAACGUUAAUCGGGGCAGGGUGAGUCGACCCCUAAGGCGAGGCCGAAAGGCGUAGUCGAUGGGAAACAGGUUAAUAUUCCUGUACUUGGUGUUACUGCGAAGGGGGGACGGAGAAGGCUAUGUUAGCCGGGCGACGGUUGUCCCGGUUUAAGCAUGUAGGCUGAUUGUCCAGGCAAAUCCGGAUAAUCAAGGCUGAGGUGUGAUGACGAGGCACUACGGUGCUGAAGUAACAAAUGCCCUGCUUCCAGGAAAAGCCUCUAAGCAUCAGGUAACAUUAAAUCGUACCCCAAACCGACACAGGUGGUCAGGUAGAGAAUACCAAGGCGCUUGAGAGAACUCGGGUGAAGGAACUAGGCAAAAUGGUGCCGUAACUUCGGGAGAAGGCACGCUGGUGUGUAGGUGAAGUCCCUGCGGAUGGAGCUGAGACCAGUCGAAGAUACCAGCUGGCUGCAACUGUUUAUUAAAAACACAGCACUGUGCAAACACGAAAGUGGACGUAUACGGUGUGACGCCUGCCCGGUGCCGGAAGGUUAAUUGAUGGGGUUAUCCGUAAGGAGAAGCUCUUGAUCGAAGCCCCGGUAAACGGCGGCCGUAACUAUAACGGUCCUAAGGUAGCGAAAUUCCUUGUCGGGUAAGUUCCGACCUGCACGAAUGGCGUAAUGAUGGCCAGGCUGUCUCCACCCGAGACUCAGUGAAAUUGAACUCGCUGUGAAGAUGCAGUGUACCCGCGGCAAGACGGAAAGACCCCGUGAACCUUUACUAUAGCUUGACACUGAACAUUGAGCCUUGAUGUGUAGGAUAGGUGGGAGGCUUUGAAGCGUGGACGCCAGUCUGCGUGGAGCCAACCUUGAAAUACCACCCUUUAAUGUUUGAUGUUCUAACGUUGGCCCCUGACCGGGGUUGCGGACAGUGUCUGGUGGGUAGUUUGACUGGGGCGGUCUCCUCCCAAAGCGUAACGGAGGAGCACGAAGGUUAGCUAAUCCUGGUCGGACAUCAGGAGGUUAGUGCAAUGGCAUAAGCUAGCUUGACUGCGAGCGUGACGGCGCGAGCAGGUGCGAAAGCAGGUCAUAGUGAUCCGGUGGUUCUGAAUGGAAGGGCCAUCGCUCAACGGAUAAAAGGUACUCCGGGGAUAACAGGCUGAUACCGCCCAAGAGUUCAUAUCGACGGCGGUGUUUGGCACCUCGAUGUCGGCUCAUCACAUCCUGGGGCUGAAGUAGGUCCCAAGGGUAUGGCUGUUCGCCAUUUAAAGUGGUACGCGAGCUGGGUUUAGAACGUCGUGAGACAGUUCGGUCCCUAUCUGCCGUGGGCGCUGGAGAAUUGAGGGGGGCUGCUCCUAGUACGAGAGGACCGGAGUGGACGCAUCACUGGUGUUCGGGUUGUCAUGCCAAUGGCACUGCCCGGUAGCUAAAUGCGGAAGAGAUAAGUGCUGAAAGCAUCUAAGCACGAAACUUGCCCCGAGAUGAGUUCUCCCUGAGACUUUAAGUCUCCUGAAGGAACGUUAAAGACGAUGACGUUGAUAGGCCGGGUGUGUAAGCGCAGCGAUGCGUUGAGCUAACCGGUACUAAUGAACCGUGAGGCUUAACCUU
rnacentral:rRNA from 1 species